rnacentral:tRNA from 1 species
GGAAGCGUGCCCGAAAGUUAGGGACCUCCUUGAUAAGGAGAAUUAUAAGAGUUCAAACCUCCUCACUUCC